AUUGAACGCUGGCGGCAGGCCUAACACAUGCAAGUCGAACGAGUGGCGGACGGGUGAGUAAUGUCUGGGAAACUGCCCGUUGGAGGGGGAUAACUACUGGAAACGGUAGCUAAUACCGCAUACCAUCGGAUGUGCCCAGAUGGGAUUAGCUAGUAGGUGGGGUAACGGCUCACCUAGGCGACGAUCCCUAGCUGGUCUGCAGGGAUGACCGUACAAAUGGGAACUGAGAAACGGUCCAGACUCCUACGGGAGGCAGCAGUGGGAAAUAUUGCAAAAUGGGCGCAAGCCUGAUGCAGCAAUGCCGCGUGGAUGAAGAAGGCCUUCGGGUUGUAAAGUACUUUCAGCGAGGAGGCGUUACUCGCAGAAGAAGCACCGGCUAACUCCGUGCCAGCAGCCGCGGUAAUAC
rnacentral:rRNA from 1 species